rnacentral:tRNA from 1 species
GCCUGGGUGGCUCAGUUGGCUAAGCAUCUGACUUUGGCUCAGGUCAUGAUCUCACUGUUUGUGAGUUCAAGUCCCACAACAGGCU